rnacentral:rRNA from 1 species
UACGAAGGGGGCUAGCGUUGCCCGGAAUCACUGGGCGUAAAGCGCACGUAGGCGGAUCGUUAAGUCAGGGGUGAAAUCCUGGAGCUCAACUCCAGAACUGCCUUUGAUACUGGCGACCUUGAGUUCGGGAGAGGUGAGUGGAACUGCGAGUGUAGAGGUGAAAUUCGUAGAUAUUCGCAAGAACACCAGUGGCGAAGGCGGCUCACUGGCCCGAUACUGACGCUGAGGCGCGAAAGCGUGGGGAGCAAACGGG